rnacentral:rRNA from 1 species
GUCUACGGCCACACCUAGGCGAAAACACCAGUUCCCGUCCGAUCACUGCAGUUAAGCGUCUGAGGGCCUCGUUAGUACUAUGGUUGGAGACAACAUGGGAAUCCGGGGUGCUGUAGGCUUCC